rnacentral:rRNA from 1 species
AAGGCUUCGGCCUUAGUGGCGCACGGGUGCGUAACGCGUGGGAAUCUACCCUUAGGUUCGGAAUAACUCAGAGAAAUUUGAGCUAAUACCGGAUAAUGUCUUCGGACCAAAGAUUUAUCGCCUUUGGAUGAGCCCGCGUAAGAUUAGCUAGUUGGUAGGGUAAAGGCCUACCAAGGCGACGACCUUUAGCUGGUCUGAGAGGAUGAUCAGCCACACUGGGACUGAGACACGGCCCAGACUCCUACGGGAGGCAGCAGUGGGGAAUAUUGGACAAUGGGCGCAAGCCUGAUCCAGCAAUGCCGCGUGAGUGAUGAAGGCCUUCGGGUCGUAAAGCUCUUUUACCAGGGAUGAUAAUGACAGUACCUGGAGAAUAAGCUCCGGCUAACUCCGCGCCAGCAGCCGCGGUAAUACGGAGGGAGCUAGCGUUGUUCGGAAUUACUGGGCGUAAAGCGCGCGUAGGCGGCUUGCCAAGUCAGGGGUGAAAUCCCGGGGCUCAACCCCGGAACUGCCCUUGAAACUAGCAGGCUAGAAUCUUGGAGAGGUCAGUGGAAUUCCGAGUGUAGAGGUGAAAUUCGUAGAUAUUCGGAAGAACACCAGUGGCGAAGGCGACUGACUGGACAAGUAUUGACGCUGAGGUGCGAAAGCGUGGGGAGCAAAC